AAAAUAUAAAUGUACAUGCAAAUAUUAUUAUAAUAUAGCCGUCUAGGGUUUUAAAACGCGUAUCACAUGUUUAGAAUCAGAUUGUUCAAUUAAGAAAUUAUGCUUCUUUUAAUAAUUUAAUUGAGUUGUAAAAGUGUUGACUGAAGCACAACUUGUACGAAGCGGUUCGUUCGAAAAAUAUGCACACGAUCAACAAUAUAAAAUCCCCCUUCCCUUUUACCACCAAAAAAAAAAAAAAUACAAAAAGAGGCAUUCAUUUCUUAUAAUUAUAUUUCUAUGCUAAUAAAACAACACAAAAAGUUUGAACAAGUUUUUCUUUUAUAUACCAGUGCACUUUUUUUUGCAGCACGUGUCAACUCC
rnacentral:lncRNA from 1 species